UACGUAGGGGGCAAGCGUUGUCCGGAAUCAUUGGGCGUAAAGCGCGUGUAGGCGGCUUGGUAAGUCUGGUGUGAAACCUCGGGGCUCAACCCCGAGACGCCGAUGGAAACCAUCUGACUAGAGUCCGGAAGGGGCGAGUGGAAUUCCUGGUGUAGCGGUGAAAUGCGCAGAUAUCAGGAGGAACACCUAUGGCGAAGGCAGCUCGCUGGGACGGUACUGACGCUGAGGCGCGAAAGCGUGGGGAGCGAACAGG
rnacentral:rRNA from 1 species